GAAACGACUGCUAAGACUGGAUAGGAGACAAGAAGGCAUCUUCUUGUUUUUAAAAGACCUAGCAAUAGGUAUGCUUAGGGAGGAGCUUGCGUCACAUUAGUUAGUUGGUGGGGUAAAGGCCUACCAAGACUAUGAUGUGUAGCCGGGCUGAGAGGUUGAACGGCCACAUUGGGACUGAGACACGGCCCAAACUCCUACGGGAGGCAGCAGUAGGGAAUUUUCGGCAAUGGAGGAAACUCUGACCGAGCAACGCCGCGUGAACGAUGAAGUAUUUCGGUACGUAAAGUUCUUUUAUUAGGGAAGAAUAAAUGAUGGAAAAAUCAUUCUGACGGUACCUAAUGAAUAAGCCCCGGCUAACUAUGUGCCAGCAGCCGCGGUAAUACAUAGGGGGCAAGCGUUAUCCGGAAUUAUUGGGCGUAAAGGGUGCGUAGGCGGUUAAAUAAGUUUAUGGUCUAAGUGCAAUGCUCAACAUUGUGAUGCUAUAAAAACUGUUUAGCUAGAGUAAGAUAGAGGCAAGUGGAAUUCCAUGUGUAGUGGUAAAAUGCGUAAAUAUACGGAGGAACACCAGUAGCGAAGGCGGCUUGCUGGGUCUUUACUGACGCUGAGGCACGAAAGCGUGGGGAGCAAACAGGAUUAGAUACCCUGGUAGUCCACGCCGUAAACGAUGAGUACUAAACGUUGGGUAAAACCAGUGUUGAAGUUAACACAUUAAGUACUCCGCCUGAGUAGUACGUACGCAAGUAUGAAACUUAAAGGAAUUGACGGGACUCCGCACAAGCGGUGGAUCAUGUUGUUUAAUUCGAAGGUACCCGAAAAACCUCACCAGGUCUUGACAUGCUUCUGCAAAGCUGUAGAAACACAGUGGAGGUUAUCAGUUGCACAGGUGGUGCAUGGUUGUCGUCAGCUCGUGUCGUGAGAUGUUGGGUUAAGUCCCGCAACGAGCGCAACCCUUAUUGUUAGUUACCAGCACGUAAUGGUGGGGACUUUAGCAAGACUGCCAGUGAUAAAUUGGAGGAAGGUGGGGACGACAUCAAAUCAUCAUGCCCCUUAUGACCUGGGCUACAAACGUGAUACAAUGGCUGUUACAAAGGGUAGCUGAAGCGCAAGUUUUUGGCGAAUCUCAAAAAAACAGUCUCAGUUCGGAUUGAAGUCUGCAACUCGACUUCAUGAAGUUGGAAUCGCUAGUAAUCGCGAAUCAGCAUGUCGCGGUGAAUACGUUCUCGGGGUUUGUACACACCGCCCGUCA
rnacentral:rRNA from 1 species